AACCUAGCACACCUGCGGUGUGUACCUGCGGAAGGAUCAUUACCGAGUUUACAACUCCCAAACCCCAAUGUGAACGUUACCAAUCUGUUGCCUCGGCGGGAUUCUCUUGCCCCGGGCGCGUCGCAGCCCCGGAUCCCAUGGCGCCCGCCGGAGGACCAACUCCAAACUCUUUUUUCUCUCCGUCGCGGCUCCCGUCGCGGCUCUGACUUAUUUUUGCUCUGAGCCUUUCUCGGCGACCCU
rnacentral:misc_RNA from 1 species